AUACUUACCUUAAGAUGUCAGAGGAGAUCAAGAAGUCCUUCUGGCCAGAUAUGUCUUUCUGGAGCGAUGCCUAUAUUUUUCAGAGUAUAGGUUUGCUUGCUGGGUCUCAAAUGUAGACUGCACAUACUCGCGAAAGGUGUAUUUGCUGACGUUUCGUUUUCUCGUUCUGCGGGUGUGUCAUUUUCUUUCUUAAGAGAGACAAUGGUGUGCUUGUUGGAGCCCUUUGUUUCUUCUGCCUGGAGAAGGAUGGUGCUGAUUACAAGUCAGCGCUGGGAAAGUCGGGUGUGGAUUCUGGCCGCUUUAAGUGCUGAAACUUCAGCUCUUUGUGACAACAGUCGAUUCCCAUGUAUAGGUAUCGCAUUGGCGGUUGUUUGUGGCCAUUGUCUUCGGAUGACGGCCUGGGAUGGCUGCCAAACGGAUUCCGCUAUUGCAUGGCGAAGGUGUGCUGUUGCGAAGUGUCGGUAUAGUACAGGAACCACGCUUGGUAGAAACGGGUAGGUCUUAUAAUUUUUGAUUUCAUUCUU